UUAUUUCCAUUAUUCCGAAGUGAC
rnacentral:siRNA from 1 species